GCGCGCGUAGCUCAGUUGGUUAGAGCGUCUGGUUUACACCCAGAAGGUCCCUGGUUCGAAUCCAGGCGCGCGCACCA
rnacentral:tRNA from 1 species